CAGCCGCCGCGGUAAUACGUAGGGUGCGAGCGUUAAUCGGAAUUACUGGGCGUAAAGCGUGCGCAGGCGGUUGUGUAAGACAGGUGUGAAAUCCCCGGGCUUAACCUGGGAACUGCGCUUGUGACUGCACAGCUAGAGUGUGGCAGAGGGGGGUGGAAUUCCACGUGUAGCAGUGAAAUGCGUAGAGAUGUGGAGGAACACCGAUGGCGAAGGCAGCCCCCUGGGCCAAUACUGACGCUCAUGCACGAAAGCGUGGGGAGCAAACAGGAUUAGAUACCCCCGUAGUCCCUGUCUCUUAUAC
rnacentral:rRNA from 1 species